AGUGAACGCUGGCGGUAGGCCUAACACAUGCAAGUCGAACGGCAGCACAGUAAGAGCUUGCUCUUACGGGUGGCGAGUGGCGGACGGGUGAGGAAUACAUCGGAAUCUACUUUUUCGUGGGGGAUAACGUAGGGAAACUUACGCUAAUACCGCAUACGACCUACGGGUGAAAGCAGGGGAUCUUCUGACCUUGCGCGAUUGAAUGAGCCGAGGUCGGAUUAGCUAGUUGGCGGGGUAAAGGCCCACCAAGGCGACGAUCCGUAGCUGGUCUGAGAGGAUGAUCAGCCACACUGGAACUGAGACACGGUCCAGACUCCUACGGGAGGCAGCAGUGGGGAAUAUUGGACAAUGGGGGCAAGCCUGAUCCAGCCAUACCGCGUGGGUGAAGAAGGCCUUCGGGUUGUAAAGCCCUUUUGUUGGGAAAGAAAAGCAGCAGGUUAAUACCCCGCUGUUCUGACGGUACCCAAAGAAUAAGCACCGGCUAACUUCGUG
rnacentral:rRNA from 1 species